AUUUCCAAAAACAAAUCAAAAAUGUUAUGAAAUAUUAACUAUAAUAUGAAUGCGUCGCAAAAUAAUCCAUGACUGUUUUUUGUUAUACAUAUCAAUAAUUAUACAAAUUAAAAAUAUCUCAAAACAAUUCAGAACUUCUGCAUCUUCUUGAGGAAUCUUGCAGCAGCACAUCCUGAAAUUAACUUAGGUUUCAGAACAGAGAUGAGGAGAAAUGACUGAGGAAAUGCCUGAAACAACUAUAGGAGGCUCGGUUAAACAUUAAAUAAAACACUGCAGACGAAGACCGCAUUUUCAAUUUAACCAGAUUAAGCCCGUACAUGAAUUUACUGUUACCGUCCUGUCUAGUGUACCCAGUGAAUUGUAGACCCAGCAUGUUUUAUGCGCAAAUAUAGACUGGCUGGAUUAUUGUGUUAUUGAGAUUUUUGCCACAAACUCUAAUUUUCUUAUUUCUAUACCUUUGCCACCCCAUGUCGUAGACCUAAGAUAUUUUAAACUUCAAGUUUAGAUCAAAAAAUCUAUAUGUAUACGUUUGAAAUAUCAAAGGUUUAAACCAUCCUAUGGCUGCACAAAUUGGAAAAUUGGAUUUUUGGGGGGAAGACCCGUUUUUCACAUUUCUACAAGAACUAGGCUUUUAUGGCAAUUCGGGCCCAUCCUAUCUUUUAACUUUUAAUUGUGGCUCUUUCUUCUCGUUGUACAGUAUAAAACAAGCUUUUGGAGACAACUUUUUGUAAUUAAGAGCAUCCAUAAACCUUCCCUGGAGUCAUGCCAGGCCCCACACUAAAUUUGGGCCCUAUCGGUUCAGCUGUUUUGUAGUUUAUUGGAUACACACAGACAAACAAACAAAUAGACACCCAGAAAGAUAAGCAAAGUAUAUUCAUAGAUGAGAAAAUGUUGGUUUGUGGCAAAGACUCUAUUCUUUUUGUGCAAAAUUGCAUUAUGUUUAAAAUUGCAUAGAUAUUAUUAGAAUUGUAUGUUUAAAGUUACAUAUGGCAAGAGUUUACAUAUAAAUAUAGUUAUCUUACACAUCGUAAUUUCUAACAAAUAAAUCAAAAUUAAAAUUUGUUUA